rnacentral:tRNA from 1 species
UUUUAAUAGCUUAUAGAUAGAGCAUAAUAUUGAAGAUAUUAAGGAGAAAUUUUUUCUUAAAAUAU